UACAGAGGGUGCAAGCGUUGCUCGGAUUUACUGGGCGUAAAGCGUACGCAGACGGUGAGGAAGGUCGGAUGUGAAAGCCCCGGGCUCAACCCGGGAACUGCAUCCGAAACCAUCUCGCUAGAGUAUGGGAGAGGGAAGCGGAAUUCCUGGUGUAGAGGUGAAAGUCGUAGAUAUCAGGAGGAACAUCUGCGGCGAAGGCGGCUUCCUGGCCCAUUACUGACGUUCAGGUACGAAAGCGUGGGUAGCAAACAGG
rnacentral:rRNA from 1 species